rnacentral:lncRNA from 1 species
UUUUUGUCCAUGUCAGCUAAUAUAUAUCUAUACUAUAUAUAAAGCACGUAUAUUCAAAUUUGAGUCCGUCGACAGACCUAUUUUUCGGCAGAAAAAUUAGCGCCCAUUUUUUUCUUUUCAUACGAAAAAUUUUAAAUAUAAGAAUAAAAAUAGAAAUAGAAACAACAAUAAAUACGUAAGUUCUCUAUAACAGAUUAUUAAUGUGAAAAUUCUAAAAUAUAAAUUUUUUUAUUUAAUUUCAAAAGUAAGUUUUCUAUAACAGAUUAUGGGUGUGAAAAUCCUAUAAAAGAUAUUUUCCUAUUUUAUUUUAAAAUAUCUUUUUUAGAUAUUAUCUAUUUAAUUUCAAAAUAUAUUUUCUUUUUAAGAUAACGGAUUUUAUUUUUCUAUUUAAU